GUCUACGGCCAUGCCACCCUGAACCAGCCCAAUCCUGUCUGAUCUCGGAAGCUAAGCAGGGUCAGGCCUGGUUAGUACUUGGAUGGGAGACCACCCAGGAAGACCAGGCGCUGUAGGCG
rnacentral:rRNA from 1 species